rnacentral:tRNA from 1 species
UCCCUGGUGGCUCAGUGGUAAAGCGUCUACCUGCAAUGUGGGAGACCUGGGUUCGAUUCCUGGGUCGGGAA